UCCCUGGUGGUCCAGUGGUUAAGAAGCCACCUUUCAAUGGUGGGGACUCGGGUUCUAUCCCUGGUCAGGGAA
rnacentral:tRNA from 1 species